rnacentral:snRNA from 1 species
GUGCUCGCUUCGGCAGCACGUAGACCAAAAUUGAAAGGAUACAGAGAAGAUUAGCAUGGCCUCUGCACGGCAUGCAAAUUCGCCAAGCAUUUUCCGUAUUU